GCGGGUGUGGUUCAAUGGUAGAAUGGGACCUUGCCAAGGUUCAGACGAGGGUUCGAUUCCCUUCACCCGCU
rnacentral:tRNA from 4 species